AUCAUGCACUUUAUGUCAUAAACAUCAUGCUUUAAAAAUAGAUUCAAACGAAAGACGUUUAUUUAAAACCAUUUGUACUAUGCGUUGAU